AAGAGGUUAAUAUAAUAAAAUAGCUGCUAACUAAUUUUAUAAGUGGUUCAAUUCCAUUUAACUCUUA
rnacentral:tRNA from 1 species